AUUCGUCUGCGCAGUAACAGUAGAACUUUUACCUGAGCAGAGUGACUGGUGUGUGAUUUUUUUCUAAGUUUUUUUUAGCGUGAUUGACUUCCCGUAAUUCCUUGUGUUACUUUUCUCACGAUGAUGUUAAACGAAUUGUGAUCUAUAUAUUUCUGGAGGAAAGGAAAAAUACAGCUUAAAGAUAACACAAGAGUGGGAAACAGCGGUAUGACAUCAUUUCCGGCUUGCAAAGGGAGAUUAUCAACUUAACAUAAUUAUAGCUGACUAACAACCAAUCAUAGAGCAUAUUGUAGUCACGUGACCAUGACAACAAUGCAGUCAUACCGCGAGAGAAAGGAAGCACGUGAACGUGAACUGCAUGGCACGAGCAGUCGAGAGGACUCUAUAGUUGAUGACGAGGAUUCAUGGUUUCGGAGACGACAGGAAAGAGAACGCUACCAUACAACUUCCAUCGACCACAACACCAUAAACGAGAUCAAGUCCUCGAUGACGGCAUCUACCGGAAGUGGUAAACUUGCGCAGGAAAUCCAUGAUGAAUUCCUCACAUGCAAAAUCUGUUUGGAGGGGUACAAAAAUCCAAAAUGUUUGGAUUGCCUCCAUACUUUCUGCGAGGGCUGUAUCGACAAUCACGUGAUGUCAGAAUGUACCUACAAGAAAUACAGCGACUAUCGAGAAUUUACUUGCCCACUGUGCCGGAAACGAACGCAACUGCCGAUAGGGGGCGUUAAGAAACUUCCGGAUAAUUUUCUUGUCUCAAAUCUUUCGGAACUCGUUGUACGACAACGGCCGUCAAAGUUUCCAUUUUGCGACAUCUGUAAACUGGUAAACCGGAAACACCGCGAGGCGGCGUCAAAAUGUCUAGAUUGUAACAAGCUGCUGUGUAAAACUUGCGUUGACCUUCACAAGGAGACGAAGGUCACCAAGAAUCACAGCAUUUUCGAUUGCGAGAUUGAGAAAGACAUAGAAUGUAAAGAGCAUAAAGAAGAAGCUGUAAGAUUUUAUUGUGAGCCGUGUGAAACAUGCAUAUGUGUACUGUGUACAUUUAACGAACACAAAGACCACGAGAUAACAUCUUUCACAGAUGCUGUUGUAAAAUACAAAGAGAAUAUUCAAUCGCUUUUGGAUAACUGUAAAUCUAAGAUAGACCUAUAUGACACCCAAUUAGGCACGCUUGGCAAAUGCGAAUCCCUCAUAAAAGCUGCAGAACAACAAAUAAGAGAUACUGCCAUUCAGUUCAUUGCGGAUGUUAGAUCUAGAGAAAAGGAACUAAUUGAUGAUUUACACCAACUCUAUGGCGCGGAAUUAAUGAAGCAUGUUGAUCAGAGAAAUGAAUUACAAGUUAAUCUUGAUGCUGUAAAAAGCACCUGCAGUCUUACCGAGCUAGUUCUCAAAGGUAAAGAUAUAGAACUUCUGCUGUUAAAGAAACAAGUUCAAGAAAAACUCACAGCACUAAAUGACAUUGAACUGAACUCUUUACCUGAAACAGUGGGUAAACAGGUUUGUUUUAUCCCCGGAAACUUGGAUCUUGGCUCACUAGAAGAUGCCGGGACACCACGACAGAGUAUGAAUCGACAAUUAUCUAUGCCAGGUACCAUGCGGAAAGGGGGAAUGAGGUCCGCUUGCGUUCAAACUGAAAAAGAGGAACCAGCGCCGAAAACAAGGCAAAUUGAUGAACAAACUCAAACCGAGGCUGAGGAAAGAGAAAAAGAUGAGGUUUCGGAUGAGUCCGACAAUGUAUUUUCGAACGUUGAUGACAAAUCUACGGAAACGGAAUUGAUUGAAACCAGCGAAAAGGGUGUGAAUACACGUUCGAGAAGUCUUGUCCACUCCGUACAAUCUAACAGUUCCCAGGACAAUCCGUCUGAGGGGCAAAACGGCUUCCAGGAUGCCCCUUCAUCACCUGUUGGUCAGCGUCGACAUCGACGCAGACGAGAACGUUCGAGACAAGAGGUAUCAACGCCAAUGACAGCUACUAUUACUAACGUUGAGCCUCAAGCACCGGCAGUCAGCAGGGCCCCUGCGCUUUCCUAUAGUAGUAGCAUCGAUGAUAACUAUAUGUCCCCGACGGACGGAGGUACAACGGUAACGCCAGGUCAAUAUAAGUCUUACAGUCAAUUUGGUCCUCAAAGUGCAGACUUCUUUUGACAUCUUUCAGUUGUCCCAUUUUUCUUUCAUGCACCUAUAUUGUGUAUCAUAAUUAGUUAGAUCCUACCCCACCACUAUUGCCCAUAUACUAUUUCCACACCCAUAGUGUUUUUUCCUGUUCCUAGAACACAUAUCUAUUACCCAGUGUGCUCUUUGGAUUACAGUGAUAUUUGUUGUCAUUCGUAUUUGUUUUGUGUUCGUAUUAUUAUCUGUUUUUCAUCCAGAAAAGUAGAGUCUACGUCAAACAAGAGAGAGAGUUCAAACCACGUUUUGACAACAUCCACGUCCACCGUCUUUCCACCGGUCAGCAUUGCCCAUAAUGCAUGAUAUAUGUAAAUGUAUCCUAAACAUCUUUCAAGUACGUAACAUUUUGUGUUGUUUCCAAAACUCAAAAAAAUAAUUCUAUGUAUAAAUUUUGGUCUUAUUAAUCCGUAACAUGAUUAAUUGAGCACUUAGUUGAGACUAUAUUUACUACAUGUAUCUAUUUUUAGACUAUCGAUCUGGUAAACUGUUGUGACCUUGGCUUUUGACCUUGUACCUAACCUCCGUCCUGGUGCUACUACUAUUGCUUCUUGGACUUGUAUCUACGCAAUUAACUUGCCUUUGAUGACAUUAAUAUUGCUCUUGAUGACGUAAUUAAAUGUGCUUCUUACGUCAUAAAUGGCCUGCUGACCAGUGCAUACGUCAUAGUAUACGUCAUGUUGCGUCUGAUUUCUCAUGUGCCUGUUACUAAAACUGCUUGAUAUGUGUGAAUGGAUUUUCUUUAGAAUGUGACUGUAUUUUUCGUAACACGACAGACAGAAAAGGGGCCAUGGUAAAGAUGGAUUAUACAAAAUCGAUUUGAAUGAAAAAGCGAUCUAUGCCACAUGCAAAUCGGCUUAAAGGGAGGAGAUUAUACACACAUGCAUUCCUCAAAGUGCGUUCUUGAAUAAACGCUCAAACAAACGGCAAGUAAGCAAGGAAAACGGAAAUUUUAAGUAUUGACCCUAAAUAUUUGUGAGAAGAACUUAUUGAUAAAAAUGGUUACAUAAGUUUUGGGACACACUGUAUUUUCAAUACAUAACCUGGAUAUUUCAGAAAAGUCCGAGCCCCGAUCAACGACCAUCGCAUACUUCAGCUUCGGUAGUGGACCAAGCUCCUCCUAGAUACAGCAAAGGAACAUAUUCAAUGUUGCGCAUGCCCUGAGCACAUGUCACGUGUCGUUUCAGAGAAGUGCGCAUGCGCUCUGUGUAUCGUGUGGCGCAAUUAACCGUGAAAACUGAGCCAAAAUAAUACAAAAUGAUGGAAAAUACUUUGAAUAUUUGAGAAAUUUAUAUCAGUCAGACCUGUGACGCUGUCGCUCAGAAGGAUUUGUUAAAAUAUAUUGGUUUAGAACAUAAUACAGACUGAUUAAGAACAUAAUGUUCACAGGUUCUACUGAACACUUCUGCAUAGCUUAUUGUUACCAUUUAUAAAAAGGGGGUCAUUUACUUGAACAGAAAUGUCUUAUCUUGUAAAUCUUUUGUUUCUUUGUGAUAUUUUACUAUGCAAAAUCGACCGACUAAUUAAUAUUUGAAAAACUUACAACUCUGUUACAGAGUUUAGAUCAACUGUAGGAGAAUAAAAUCUAUAAGAAAAAAAAA